GGUGAGAUGGCCGAGUGGUCUAAGGCGCUAGAUUUAGAUUACUCUAUCUACCUGUAGUCAUUCGUGGCGUGGGUUCAAAUCCCACUCUCAUCA